rnacentral:rRNA from 1 species
AGCGAACGCUGGCGGCAUGCUUAACACAUGCAAGUCGCGCGAUCGGGGGGCAACUUCCGGGAGCGGCGGACGGGUGAGUAACGCGUAGGUAUCUAUCCAAGGGUGGGGGACAACCGCGGGAAACUGCGGCUAAUACCGCAUGAUGACCCUGAUCGAGAGGUUUGGGUCCAAAGCAGCGAUGCGCCUAUGGAGGAGCCUGCGUCCGAUUAGCUUGUUGGUGGGGUAACGGCCUACCAAGGCUGUGAUCGGUAGCUGGUCUGAGAGGAUGAU